CUUUAUAGGCUUAUAACUAUAUCCACUUACACCUGUGAACUGUUCUAUUACUUGACGCAAGUCGAGUAUUUUUACAAACAAUGUGUAAUGAACGUCGUUUUAUUAUAACAAAAUAAAACUUUCAACAACGGAUCUCUUGGCUCUCGCAUCGAUGAAGAACGCAGCGAAUUGCGAUAAGUAAUGUGAAUUGCAGAAUUCAGUGAAUCAUCGAAUCUUUGAACGCAGCUUGCGCUCUCUGGUAUUCCGGAGAGCAUGCCUGUUUCAGUGUCAUGAAAUCUCAACCACUAGGGUUUCCUAAUGGAUUGGAUUUGGGCGUCUGCGAUCUCUGAUCGCUCGCCUUAAAAGAGUUAGCAAGUUUGACAUUAAUGUCUGGUGUAAUAAGUUUCACUGGGUCCAUUGUGUUGAAGCGUGCUUCUAAUCGUCCGCAAGGACAAUUACUUUGACUCUGGCCUGAAAUCAGGUAGGA
rnacentral:rRNA from 1 species